rnacentral:lncRNA from 1 species
AUACGUUGUAAUACGUAAUAUUUGAGGAUUAUUGGAACUUACGGAUUGGGAAUCCGAGUUACGGAUCUUCCGGAAUUGGAAUUGUAAGUCCAUAAUAUAAAAUGUUAACCGUCACUUAGUUUUGGAAAUUGACGGAGAUCCGACCGUUGGAUGGUAAUGAAAUUUUAGGAUGUUGUCCUAGAGGUAUAAUGUGGACCUCUGGAAGUUAUGGAUUUAAAAUCUGAGUGGCAGAUCUUCCGGAUCGAUCUACGUAGUGACGUAUUUUAUAUAAGUUAUAUAUUCUAUCGAUAUGAAUUCUGAGGUUGGAUUUGAUUACUGUUCUAGGCGGCGAUCGUCAUGACGCCUUGAUGUGUGGUGCUAGGGAGUUGUUGGACGAACUCCAGGUGAGUGGGCAGUUUUGUUUUCCGUAUACAUAUAUAAUUGACGUUUCCCAGAAAUUGAAAAUGUUACGAAAGUAUGCUUUAAAUGCAAAGUAUAAAAGUAUGUUUUCAAAUGCCAUGAGUAGAUUAUAUGAAAGAUAUGAUUUGAGAUAUAUUAGUUGAAAUACCAUGCUUAGAAGUAUGUGAAAAGUAUAUAGAAAUGUGAAUCGAAAUGCCAUGCAUGAAAUGAUAUGAAAAGUAUGAAUUGAGAUAUGAUGCAUAUGUAUGAAUUGGUGCUGUGGACGCACAGGUGAGUAUCAGGUGAGUAUAUUACUGCUAUGAUGAUGUUGAGAUAUAUUGAGCUCAUAACCUGCACCUUGGUAUUAGUGCUUAUUAUUAUUCACCGCAUCGCAUGCUCACCUUGGAUCCAAGUAGAUGCUAGUCGUACAGACCACCGGGGGUGGUUCCGACAUGCCAGUCGUACAGACCAUUAGAGGGGUUCCGACUGGUAGGUGACCUUAGAUUAUGUGCACAGAUGAUUGAUGAGAAAAGCACUAGAGCAUAUUAUUACACCAUUAAGUCGUACAGAUUACAUUAGGUAAUUCCGACUUAUGUGCAGUGUAGUGCCGUACAGGUCAUACUAGGUGACUCCGGCAUGGCCGAACAGGUCACAGUUGGUGACUCCGGUUAUAUGAGAUUUUGAGCUCUACAUUCAGCCGUACAGGACCAUUGUAGGGUCUCCGGUUGAUUUCUUUCUUGCACCUGAUAUGAUUAUUGCUGAUGCAUUCAUACUUAACUGUUGAAUUUAGACAUGGCAUGGCAUGAUUGAUAAAGAUAAAUGUUGAGAUAGUAAAAAUGAAGUUUUGAUAAUAUAUAUGUAUAUUUAUAUUUUACAUUUCUGGGAAAGUAUACAGGUUUUACGGAGAGGGGUUACAACGUUUUGAGAAAUGUUUGGAUUUGGAAAAGAAUUGUUUUACUGACCCACUCAAUUUUGGUUUUGCGCCCCUCCAGGUUCAUGAAUCACAAAGGUGUGGUGACUACGAGGAAUUCGACGGUGUUCUGACAGAUUGGACAAAAUUAGGACUCACUUUCGGGUGUAUCAACUUAGGAAUUGUAUCUUAAAGCUUCCGUACUGUGCAAAUGGUUACGUCACUCUCACGUGACGGCCAGCAUGCCCUCCUUCGGGACGGGGUGUGUCAGUUGGUAUCAGAGCAUGGUUGCAAUCUUGGACAUUUUGAGAAGUUCUAGUGAAUUCUGUCAGAACUACACCGCCUCGUAGCAAGCCACUUAGUUAGAGGAAUUUAGUCUCCCUAAUAUAACGGUUUAGGGGAAACUAUUAUUAUGGUGAUUCAGUCUAUUAUAAAAAGGGACAUUUUAAGAUGGGUUAUGAGUUGAAUUUGAAUCACUUAAGAGAAAUGAUGAACCUGAGGGAGCGAAGUAACGGUUUAACCAUUUGGAAAAGAUGUUUCGGAUUAUGCAAGUCAAAGGAAUCUUCCUUCUGACAAGGGGUCGAGAUGACUACCUGGUUUGAGUUAUGAACGUGUAUCCUGAUGGAAGCAGGAGUAUUAAUUGUUGUCAUCGGAGGAACAGCCGAUUUAAAAUUGUUUAAGGACUUGUUUAAGGAAAAGUUUAUCCCUCCGGCAUUUAUCGAUGGUAGUAAACAAGAGUUUACAAAUAUGAGACAAGGAAGGUGAUGAUCGAGGGAUAUUAUAGAAAGUUUUCAGACUUGCCUUGUUCCAUCCAGAUAUUGUUGUUAUUGGUGGAGGUGUUAUGUUGUUUUAAGCUGGGUGGCAAAAAGGGAAGUGGUAUUUUGGGUGACCACUAUCCAUUGUAGUUCUUAUCAGGAGUAUGCUAGAUGUUGUUGAGUCUUGAGGACUCUGAGAACAUGAGCAACGAGAAUAAAGAAGAAUAAGAAAUGAAUGGGAAUUUAAAGAAGACGAUAAAGUUAAUGAUUCGUCAUAUCAAGGAGAUAGAAAGAUUCAGAGCUUCGAAAGAAGUGAAGCUAGAGUUAAUUCUUCCAGCUGAGGUUUUAAUGUCGCUGGUCAGAGUAAAAGUGAUGGAUAUACUGGUAAUCCCAGAUAUUUGAGACAAGGUGUCUCGAGUAAAGGAAAUGUACUUUGUGCAGCAGGUACAAAAUUAACACUUUGGGAAAUGUGAAAUUAAUGAAUGUGUUUAUGUAAACAGAGGGGACACAUAAUUGUGAAUCGUCCCUAAAAUCAGUUGUACUCAACAAUUUUCCAUGAUAUCAUAGUGUCAAUUCAGCAGAGUUAUGGACUUAGUAGUUUGGUUGGAUUGACCAUGAGUACCGAGAGAUUUGAUGAGUUAUAUGUUCAGCCGUACAGGCCAAAAGAGGUGGAUCCGGCUGACACAUGAGAAAUUGGUGAGUUAUAGGCUCGGCUGUACGGACCACAAGAUGUGGAUCCGGCCGACGUAUUUACUGGGGAAUUGAUGUGUAAGUCGUACAGGUCACUAUAAGUGACUCCGACUAAUGUGCUAGCAUAGAUGGUUGAGCUGGAGAAUCAGCCGUACAGGUCAUUCUAGUUGACUCCGGCUGAUAUAUUUCUGAGUAUGGACAAUGAUGCCAAAGAAAGUAAUGUUGGAACGUGAUAGAGGCGUAUAUGUGUAUUCUAAUGAAAAAAAAAAAUGAUAGUAUUACACCUUUGGGAAUUGUUGCUUACUUAUCGAGACAACGAUGAUUUAUCAGUAUUGCGGGCUGCAGACCGUAAUAUUAAUAACUCAUUCGUGGAUUCGUUAAGCAAGCAAACCGGUAUUUUAUUUUAUGUUAGUGUUGUACUUAUUUAGAAUGUUCAGUAAUAAUAAAGUAUGUAUUGGGUCAGUUAAUUUUAUUCCAUUAGAUUGAUUAUUUAUAGUUGUGACUAGAUGGAAUAUUACGGGAAACCAGUUACUUUCCAUCGAUCUGGAUGACCAGAGAUUACUUUUGUAAGUAUGCAAAAUGGAUUGAGUCAGGCCGUUAUUUAUGCUGUGAGAGCAAAGAGAUUGUUUUCGAAAGGCUGUCAAAAAUACUUAGCUCAUGUGGUGCUAAAUGAUGUUGUUUGGAGUAGUGUGAAUAAUGUCGAAAGAGUUAGACUUUUCUUGAUGUCUUCUCUGAAAGUAUACCUGGAUUGUCUUCAGGCAGAGAUAUGAGGUUCAUUAUUGAUUUGUUGCCAGGUAUAAAUUUAUGUUAAAGAUUGGUUCAUGAUGAGUUAAGGGAAUUGGAAAUUCAGUUGAGAGAAUUGGUUGAUAAAAGUUUUAUUCAACCUAGUACAACACUGUUGAGGAGCACCAGUUUGUUGGUGAGAAAGGAAAUGGACUUAGAGAUUGUUCAUUGAUUAUAGAUAAUGGAAUCGGGUAACGAAUGAGAACCGUUAUCCAUUGUGGUGUAUUGACGCUCAUUUGAUCAGUUCAAAGGUGCUUGUAUAUUUUCAAAGAUUGACUUGAAUACUGUUUAUUAUCAAUUGAAGAUUAUGAGUUAUUGGAUGAAGUAUUCCAAUAAUGCCUUGAUAAAUAGAUAUCAUUUUCAUUGAAGAUAUUCUGGCAUAUUCUGAGCCAGAGCAGAACAUGUAAACGUAUUAAGUCGGUGGAACAAAGAUUGGAAGAAUGUCGGUUGUAUGCUAAGUAGCAAAUGCUAAAGUUAGAUGAAUCAUGUGGCAUUCUGAGAAUUGUUAUAUAUUCUUAAGGUAUUCAAGUGAAUCCUUAAAAGAUAGCAGAAAUUGAGAAAUUGGAACAACCACAAGCCAUAAUUGAGAUUCGGAAAUUCUUAACUUAUCAGGCUAUUUUGGAUGGUUGUGAAAGAAUUUUUAGUCAUUGUUUUGUCAUUGAUGAGACUGUUGAGAAAGGAGGUUAUGUAUGAGUGGGAAGGAAAUUGUGAGCAAAGGAUUCAACAACUGAAGUAUUUCCUCACUCAUGCACGUAUUUUAGUAAUCCCAAAGAAUAAUGGUAAUCAUAAAUUUUUAGUGAUGUUUCUUGAAUGGUAUUGGAUGCAUGUUGAUGCAAAUGUUAGGGUGAUUGCAUACGUUUCACGACAAAUGGAAUCUCAUGAGAUGAAUUACCCUACUGGUGAUUUGGAAGUCACGAUUACCAUCCUUGCUGUGAAGUUAUGGAGACAUUCUAUGUUGAUAAGAAUGCAAGAUUUUACAAAUCAAAAGAGUCUCCAAUAUUUGUUUACUUGGAAGGAUUUUGAUAGGAGGCAGCGAAUGUGAAUUGUAUUGCUUAAUGAACAUGAUUGUACGAUCAGGGUGAUCGUAAAGUUUGUUCUAACUGAAGCACUUGGUGAGAAGACUACAAUAAGAUUAAUGUCUGGCACGUUUGCCAAGAGUAUCAUCUUGUGGAUUGAAACCAACGGAAGAAAAAUUAAGAAUGGAAGAUCGAGAAGAAGUUAUACUUGUUAAAUUUCAAGUUAGGCCUGUUUGGUAAGGUCGUACUUGAAACUUAAAUGCUUGACGAAGAAAUUUAAGAAUUAACCAAGGUAGAGAAAGAAGGUAAGUUAAAUCCUAAGUUAAUCGGACUUAAGUGAUUAUCGAAAAGUUGGUGAAGUUGCUUACAAGCUUGUGAUGCCCUCAGAAUUGGUUAAGGUGCAAAACAUAUUUUAUGAUUCGAUGCGUUGUCACUAGGUGGCAGAUUCGUCACAUAAGAUUCUGGUGUAACUAUUGAGAAUUAAAUUGGAUUCGACUUGAUAAGGAACCAAGGACGACUUUGGAUUGGAAAAAGAAGGUCCUGAGAAAUUAAGACAGAGUAAGUAGUAGUAAAAGCUUUGUGAAGGAAAUCAUUCAGUAGAAAAGUAUGUGGGAGAAAGAGAAUCGGAUGAGAAAGAUUUACCCGAAGCUAUUGUUGGAGUAUGGUUUGAUUUUAGUUGGUUGCUGGAAUUUCGGGGACGAAAUUCUAUAAGGAGGGAAGAUUGUCACAGCCCGUCCCGGAAUUUUAAUUCCGAGGACAUGAAAAGACGAAAAUGCCCUUAAACGGGACUAAGGGGCGAAAAUUUAACAAUUUGGAUUGAGUUGGACACGUGGGAUCCCCACACCCCUCAAUCCUCUCCCUAUUUUCUGCAUACUGUCUCUCUCUCCUCCCUCACGAAUCUCUCUCUCUCUGUCACUCUUCUUCUCCGUUCGAACAAACCAACCACAAAACAACCUUAAACUUCCACCAACGACGGAGUUAAGACUACCAUCGAACUCCUGGAGACUCCACGAUCACGUAGACACCAAUUUCAGGUAAGUUUUACUUCGGAAAACCUAGAUUCUAAACUCCCCGUGAAAGUGCACUGUUCAUGAUCUUCGAAUUGACUUUGUUUUAGGACAAUCCAAGCUCACAGUGAGCUUAGUGAGGUUCCAAGGAAGCUCGGAGUGCUUCGUUGGAAGUUUUUGGACGUAAGAACACGGAGAUCGAUAAGUUCAAAGUUUGGCCGGAGCUUUCGAGGCAUUUUCCGGCGAAUCCCCGGCGAGUUAGGCGUCGAGGUAGGUAUCAAUCUCUUUCGUCUCGUCAAGUACUACAAACUUUCCUUUUUGUUUCACUCAAUUUCGUUGAGUAUUGAAGAAGUUAUACUCAUUUGAAAAAUACCCAGUUUCCGGCGACCUCCGAGGCUUUCGAGGCAGUUUCCGGCCAAACUACGGCGAACUAGGUGUUGGGAAAGGUACCAUUCUCUUUGUCUCUUCAAGGGCUACAACUUUCGUUUUUGAAUCACUUGAUUUCGUUGAGAAAUGACAAAGUUAUGGUAAUUUGAAAAACUGCCCAGAAAACGGCCGCCGGAAAAACCAGUCCGGCGACCCAAGGAAGAAGAAGGUGCUACAGUAAAAAAAUAAAUAAAAAUAAAAUUAUUUUAAAAAUAUGUCGACGUCCGUGACGUCGAGUAGAUCACCGUGGUAUAUUCAUAUACCCAAAUUGAACACCGUAUGAGAAAGUUAUUGAAGAUUGUUGGUUAGGUGUUCAAAUAACGUUUUUAUAGUUUUCACAUUUAGGUGAAAAUGUGAAUUGAUGAUCCGACCGUUGGAUCGUCACCAAACUUUGAUACGUUGUAAUACGUAAUAUUUGAGGAUUAUUGGAACUUACGGAUUGGGAAUCCGAGUUACGGAUCUUCCGGAAUUGGAAUUUGUAAGUCCAUAAUAUAAAAUGUUAACCGUCACUUAGUUUUGGAAAUUGACGGAGAUCCGACCGUUGGAUGGUAAUGAAAUUUUAGGAUGUUGUCCUAGAGGUAUAAUGUGGACCUCUGGAAGUUAUGGAUUUAAAAUCUGAGUGGCAGAUCUUCCGGAUCGAUCUACGUAGUGACGUAUUUUAUAUAAGUUAUAUAUUCUAUCGAUAUGAAUUCUGAGGUUGGAUUUGAUUACUGUUCUAGGCGGCGAUCGUCAUGACGCCUUGAUGUGUGGUGCUAGGGAGUUGUUGGACGAACUCCAGGUGAGUGGGCAGUUUUGUUUUCCGUAUAUACAUAUAUAAUUGACGUUUCCCAGAAAUUGAAAAUGUUACG